rnacentral:rRNA from 1 species
GAUGAACGCUGGCGGCGUGCUUAACACAUGCAAGUCGAACGAAGCACUUUAUUUGAUUUCCUUCGGGACUGAUUAUUUUGUGACUGAGUGACGGACGGGUGAGUAACGCGUGGGUAACCUGCCUUGUACAGGGGGAUAACAGUUGGAAACGGCUGCUAAUACCGCAUAAGCGCACAGCAUCGCAUGAUGCAGUGUGAAAAACUCCGGUGGUAUAAGAUGGACCCGCGUUGGAUUAGCUAGUUGGUGAGGUAACGGCCCACCAAGGCGACGAUCCAUAGCCGACCUGAGAGGGUGACCGGCCACAUUGGGACUGAGACACGGCCCAAACUCCUACGGGAGGCAGCAGUGGGGAAUAUUGCACAAUGGGCGAAAGCCUGAUGCAGCGACGCCGCGUGAGCGAAGAAGUAUUUCGGUAUGUAAAGCUCUAUCAGCAGGGAAGAUAAUGACGUUACCUGACUAAGAAGCACCGGCUAAAUACGUG